CAAAUAUAUUUCCCAUAUAUAGAGCUAAGCGGAAACAUAUAAAUUAUAGCAUCUGACCAAUGAGAAUUUCGCGUCACGAUUUGAGACGCAGAUAUUCAAAUUCAUUAGUCAUCGAUGCAGGCUCUCAAUUCAGCUUGAGAGCCUGUUCGCAGGCUAUUAUGUACUGUUUAAUAAACGAGCAGGAGUGUUUUAUUAUGUUUAAAGCCACGAGCGCGCAGCGCGAGUGGCUUUAGACCUAAUAAAACACGACCUGCGAGUUUAUUAAACGGCUUCAACCGAAUUAGUAGUCUUUAUAUAAAGAAUACUAUUGAGGAUACGACUACAAUAGAUACUGCCUUAUUAUAGUAUUCUUUAUAUAAAGAAUACUAAUUAUGAGUGUUUUAAUCAGGUUUAAAGCCACUGCACGUGACAAAUUAUGGUUGACAUGAUUUGCCAAUAAGCUUAUGAAUGAUUAAUGAGUGUUUGAAAUAUCAAAUAAAGAUCGGCCGCUCAUGUUGUAACUAGUACUUAUUAAUAUUACGUUUUUUGUUAUUAUUUACUAAACGGAACAUAUUAUAAGUAUACUUUAAAGUAUAACUUAUCGAAUAUUGUUAAGAAAGAUCCGCGGCCGUACGUAGCUGUUGCGGAAAUCCUUCUUUGAUUUAUAUAUAUAAUUAAUUUGAUGUUUUUUGGUUACAUGCAAAGUUAGAUAAAUUAAAAAUUAAAUUAAUAAUCACGAAGUUCUCCAGAACGUUUGCCUGCCUGAAAAGGUAGACAAGGCGAAGGUUCUAUUUUGAAACAAGAAACAAACAUCUACAGUUCAGUUCACAAUCUACAUGCACACAACAUAAUAUUUCCCAUUUAAUUAUCUUGAAACGACACCAUCUCCUUCAUUCAUGAAUUUUAACAAACAUACUGUAAUAAACUGUUGUGAAUUUCUGCGAAAACAAUAUUACAGUAUAUUUGCUUUUGCGGUUUACGAAGCAUUAUCACGAUUGCCCCACGAAAACACGAGAAAGCGGAAAUACGUCACAAAACGUCAUCAAUCCAUUGUUCUGCUGUGAACAAACAAGCACGGAAUUCGAAAAUCUCGAAUUUUCCACCACAUACGUCGCGGACGCCUGGGACCGAUGAAAUUAGUAUGCUGCCUCUACGAGGCAACAUACAGUACUGCUCAGAAGUAACCUAAUGAAAAACGCGUUCUGAACGCGUUCGAGAAGACCAAAUAUAUUUCCUUUUCUUGGGCUUUUGUAUUGGUCGGAUAAUGCGAGCUAGACGAAUUUGAGUUGACUGUGUUUUCAUUUAUAGUAUUCGGAAUUUUCCGAAGAAACUCGAAGCUUCAAAGAGAAAUAACACGAGUUUCAGAACGCAUUCAAGAACGCGUUCGGCACGCGUUCAGGAAGGUGUUCCGAACGCGUCCAGGAAGGUGUUCCGAACGCGUCCAGGAAGGUGUUUCGAACGCGUCCAGGAAGGUGUUCCGAACGCGUUCUCGAAGGUGUUCGGAACGCGUUCUCGAAGGUGUUCCGAAAGCGUCUUGGAACGCGUUCCGAACGCGUUCGCAGCAUUAGGUUACUUCUGAGCAGUACUGUACUGCUGCCUCUACGAGGCAACAUACAAUAUUCACACGCACACCGAGAUAUGAAAUGAUUUGUUCACAUAUAGAUGAAGAAUUGACUUCAUGCACAUGCACACUAUUUAUAUGGAG